rnacentral:rRNA from 1 species
GAUGAACGCUGGCGGCGUGCCUAAUACAUGCAAGUCGAGCGAACAGACGAGGAGCUUGCUCCUCUGACGUUAGCGGCGGACGGGUGAGUAACACGUGGAUAACCUACCUAUAAGACUGGGAUAACGUCGGGAAACCGGAGCUAAUACCGGAUAAUAUAUUGAACCGCAUGGUUCAAUAGUGAAAGACGGUUUUGCUGUCACUUAUAGAUGGAUCCGCGCCGCAUUAGCUAGUUGGUAAGGUAACGGCUUACCAAGGCAACGAUGCGUAGCCGACCUGAGAGGGUGAUCGGCCACACUGGAACUGAGACACGGUCCAGACUCCUACGGGAGGCAGCAGUAGGGAAUCUUCCGCAAUGGGCGAAAGCCUGACGGAGCAACGCCGCGUGAGUGAUGAAGGUCUUCGGAUCGUAAAACUCUGUUAUUCGGGAAGAACAAAUGUGUAAGUAACUAUGCACGUCUUGACGGUACCUAAUCAGAAAGCCACGGCUAACUACGUG